AUUGAACGCUGGCGGCAGGCCUAACACAUGCAAGUCGAGCGGAGCGGCGGACGGGUGAGUAAUGCCUAGGAAUCUGCCUGGUAGUGGGGGAUAACGUCCGGAAACGGGCGCUAAUACCGCAUACUAUCAGAUGAGCCUAGGUCGGAUUAGCUAGUUGGUGGGGUAACGGCCUACCAAGGCGACGAUCCGGAACUGGUCUGAGAGGAUGAUCAGUCACACUGGAACUGAGACACGGUCCAGACUCCUACGGGAGGCAGUAGUGGGGAAUCUUCGACAAUGGGCGAAAGCCUGAUCCAGCCAUGCCGCGUGUGUGAAGAAGGUCUUCGGAUUGUAAAGCUCUUUAAGUUGGGAGGCGUUACCAACAGAAUAAGCACCGGCUAACUUCGUGACAGCCGCCGCGGUAAUAC
rnacentral:rRNA from 1 species